rnacentral:rRNA from 1 species
CGGAUCGGAGUCUGCAACCCGACUCCGUGAAGCUGGAUUCGCUAGUAAUCGCGCAUCAGCCAUGGCGCGGUGAAUACGUUCCCGGGCCUUGUACACACCGCCCGUCAAGCCAUGGGAGCCGGGGGUGCUUGAAGUGCGUCGCCGCAAGGCGCGCCCUAGAGCAAAAACCGGUGACUGGGGCUAAGUCGUAACAAGGUAGC